rnacentral:lncRNA from 8 species
AUGAACACUAACUCCGCUGCGUAUUGGUCCACUUUCUCAGACGAUGACUUCUCUGUGGACGAAGACAGCCGUUACAGAAUCCCCCACCAACAACAGACCAAGCAGCGGAGGAAGGAGCAGCGCCAGGAGGAGCAAGGAUCCUGGACCAGGGAGAGAAAGGACUGGACAUGGGAGGACAUCCUGGACGGCAAGGGAUCCUACACUUGGGAAGAGAUCCUGGUCGGAAGGGAUCGCCUCCCAUGGGAACAGGUAGAGGCACUCAGAAGACUGGAGGCAGCAGGAAAGAAGGACCAACGGUAUGAGGGAACACGGCUGGCAAGGAAGCCCGAGAGGCAGCCCCAAAAAAAUGUUUUGGGGGGGCACACGGGGAGUGUGGCAGAGUCAGGUUGGAGACCUGAGCCAGCUCCCCGUGCUUACAGGAGGCAGCGCAGUACUGGUCAGACACCGUGUUAUGCGGUAAAGCGCACGAUGUCCCCAGUACGCGUGGAGAGCCCGGUGCGCUACAUCCCAGCUCCUAACAUCUGCCGGGGGAGGUUGGGCAUCGAGCCAGGACGGGUUGUGCAGGCCGUGAGCUCUAGACCUCCAGUGCGUCUUCAGGACCCGGUCUGUCCUGUGCCUGCUCCACGGACCAGGCCUCCAGUGGGUCUCCCCAUCCUGGUUAAGCCUGUGCCUCCUCCUCGGACCAGGCCUCCAGUGGGUCUCCCCAUCCUGGUCAGUCCUGUGCCUCCUCCUAGGACCAGGCCACCAGUGGGUCUCCCCAUCCUGGUCCGUCCUGUGCCACCUCCCAGGACUAGGCCUCCAGUGGGUCUCGCCAGUCCGGAGCCGCCAGAGCCGCCCACUAGUCAGGAGCCGCCCGCCAGUCAGGAGCCGCCAGAGCCGCCCGCCUGUCCGGAUCCGCCAGAGUGGCCCGCCUGUCCGGAUCCGCCAGAGCGGCCCGCCUGUCCGGAUCCGCCAGAGCGGCCCGCCUGUCCGGAUCUGCCAUCGCCGCCCGCCAGCCGGGUGCAGCCAUCGCCGCCCGCCAGCCGGGCGCAGCCAGGGUCGUCCGCCAGCCGGGCGCAGCCAUAG